AGAUCACAGGGUGAGGAGAAGU
rnacentral:misc_RNA from 1 species